rnacentral:lncRNA from 12 species
GUGCUCUGCAGAGCAUACCGGUUUUCAGUGUCUUCUAGUAAGAUAGAUGAUCAUCGUCAGCUUGCUUUGUUACUACAUAGCUAUUCCAUAUGCAGCCUUCUAACGUACAUAACUUAAGUGCAGGGAACACAUUGGUAUGUGCAAUGGCAAGUGAGAACUACUGUGUGCUGUGCACGCUUUUACUUUCACUUUAGUUUACACUGCAGUGCUCUUCUCUAUGCAAUGUUGAAAGAGUGCAUGGUACACAUACAAGAAGCAGGGCAAUAUGGUAUGGUAGAGAGGGUUUAGAAGAAAAGUGCAGUUACCACGCGCGUUUUGGCAGUAGCAGAACUAGCCGCUGAUUGUUCUGUGAGAGCGGUAGACGACACUUGAGAGAAACCGCCUCAUGAAACAAACCGCGACCCCAGAACCAACAGAGCACCAGAGUGGUCUGCGCAGCUUACUGGUUUCUAAUGUGUUGAGUGCUAAGAAGGAUGAAACGCGAACCAGGAAGCAGCAGAGCACCAGAGAGGGUUUAGAAGAAAAGUGCACGUGCUAGGCGUGUUUUGGCAGCAGUAGCAAAAGCUAGCAGCACAGUGUGCUGUGUUAGGAAUAGACAACACUUCUCCUCCGUAGAGAGAAACCGCCGCAUGAUACAAAGUGCGAAGAAUGAAGCAGCACAGCACCAGAGUGCUCUGCACAGCAUACCGGUUUUCAGUGUCUUCUAGUAAGAAGGAUGAUCAUCGUCAGCUUGCUUUGUUCCAACAUAGCUAUUCCAUAUGCAGCCUUCUAACGUACAUAACUUCAGUGCAGGGAACACAUUGGUAUGUGCAGUUGCAAAUGAGAACUCCUGUGUGCUGUGCACGCUUUCACAUUUACCUUAGGUUACACUGCAGUGCUCUUCGCUAUGCAGAGUUGAAAGAGGGCAUGGUACACAUACAAGAAGCAGGGCAAUAUCUUAAGGUAGAGAGGGUUUAGAAGAAAAGUGCACGUGCUAGGCGUGUUUUGGCAGUAGUAGAACUAGCCGCGGAGUGUUCUGUGAGAGCGGUAGACGACACUUCACCUCAGUUACUGAGAAAUCUUCGGAUGAUAAAAAACGUGAGCAAGGAAGCCGCAGAGCACCAGAGUGCUCUGUGCAGCAUACCGGUUUUCAGUGUCUUCUGGUAAGAAGGAUGAUCAUCGUCAUCUAGCUUUGUUACAACAUAAAUAUUUCAGUUGUAUCCUUCGAACGUACAUAUCUUAAGUGCAGAGAAGACAUUGGUAUGUGCAGUGGC